rnacentral:rRNA from 1 species
AAUGAACGCUGGCGGCAUGCCUUACACAUGCAAGUCGAACGGCAGCAUGACCUAGCUUGCUAGGUUGAUGGCGAGUGGCGAACGGGUGAGUAAUGCAUCGGAACGUGCCUUUUAGUGGGGGAUAACGUAGCGAAAGUUACGCUAAUACCGCAUAUUCUCUGAGGAGGAAAGCAGGGGACCUUCGGGCCUUGCGCUAGAAGAGCGGCCGAUGUCGGAUUAGCUAGUUGGUGAGGUAAAGGCUCACCAAGGCAACGAUCCGUAGCGGGUCUGAGAGGAUGAUCCGCCACGCUGGGACUGAGACACGGCCCAGACUCCUACGGGAGGCAGCAGUGGGGAAUUUUGGACAAUGGGCGCAAGCCUGAUCCAGCCAUGCCGCGUGAGUGAAGAAGGCCUUCGGGUUGUAAAGCUCUUUCGGCUGGGAAGAAAUCGCACCCUCUAAUACAGGGUGUGGAUGACGGUACCAGCAUAAGAAGCACCGGCUAACUACGUG